rnacentral:rRNA from 1 species
CACGUAGGGACCAAGCGUUGUCCGGAUUCAUUGGGCGUAAAGAGCUCGUAGGCGGUUCGAUAAGUCGGGGGUGAAACCUCCAGGCUCAACCUGGAGACGCCACCCGAUACUGUCGUGACUAGAGUCCAGUAGGGGAGCGUGGAAUUCCUGGUGUAGCGGUGAAAUGCGCAGAUAUCAGGAGGAACACCGAUGGCGAAGGCAGGUCUCUGGGCAUUAACUGACGCUGAGGAGCGAAAGCAUGGGGAGCGAACAGG